GGGGGUGUAGCUCAUUUGGCAGAGCGCGUCAUUAGCAAGUUCUUCUGAACAACGAAUUGACGAGGUACCGGGUUCAAUUCCCUGCUCCUCCA
rnacentral:tRNA from 2 species